AUUGGUUUUUAAAAAACCGAUGUUAACGAUAAUACUAUCAACGUCGGUACUUUCAACAUCGGUUCAAAAAUCGAUGUUGAAAGCCAUAAAUAACCGAUGUAGAAAGCAUAUUUUCGAAUAGUGUGAUAGCAUUACCUUCUACCCAAACAAUUUGUCAUACAUAGUGACCAUGAAUCCUUGAAGCAUCUUAAGGGUCAAAGCAAACUGAGCAAGAGACAUGUCAGGUGGGUGGAGUUUCUUGAAUAAUUCCAAUAUGUCAUCAAGUACAAGAAAGGUAAGUCCAAUGUAGUUGUUGAUGCACUUUCAAGAAGGUAUGUUUUAUUCUCUACUCUUGAAACUAAAUUCAUUGGGUUUGAGCACAUUAAAGAAUUGUAUGACCAUGAUCCAGAUUUUGCUUCUAAAUAUUCUGCAUGUGUACAUACUACUCAAAAUGGGUUCUUUCGACAUAAUGACUAUUUGUUCAAAGAAAAACAAUUAUGUGUGCCUAAAGGAUCCAUGAGAAGAUUGCUUGGGAAAGAAGCCCAUGUGGGAGAUUAAUGGGACAUUUUGGGGUUCAAAAGAUUUUAGACAUGUUAUAGGGGCAUUUCUAUUGGCCGCAUAUGAAACAUGAUGUGCAUAAGUUUUGUGAAUAUUGCAUUUUUUGUAAGCACUCAAAGUCUAGGGUCAUGCCUCAUAUUCUUUAUUCUCCUUUGUCUAUUCCUGAAUAUCCUUGGACUGAUUUACCUAUGGAUUUUGUUUUAGGUUUGCCUCAAACAAGGAAUGAUAAGGACUCAAUUUUUGUUGUGGUUGACAGGUUCUAAAAAAUGGCACAUUUCAUACCAUGUAAGAAAAAUGAUGAUGUGUGUCACGUUGCUGAUUUAUUUUUCAAGGAAGUGGUGUGUCUCCACAGACUAUCAAGAAGCAUUGUAUCAAACUGAGACACCAAGUUCCUUAGUCACUUUUGGAGAACAUUGUGGGGGUAAGGUUGGAACAAAGCUUCUCUUUUCCACCAUAUGUCAUCCUCAAACUGAUGGCUAAACUGAGCAUAAGGAUGCACAUGCUAAAGUUGAGUAUAUAAAAAGAUUGCAUGAGCAAGCGAAGACUCAAAUUGCAAAGAAGAAUGAAAGCUAUGUCAAGCAAACCAACAAGAACAGGAAGAAAGUGGUACUUGAACCAAGUGAUUGGGUUUGGGUACACAUGAGGAAGGAGAGGUUCCCUAAACAAAGGAUGUCCAAACUUCAACCUAGAGGAGUUGGACCUUUCCAAGUACUAGAGAGGAUAAAUUACUAUGCUUACAAGAUCGAUAUUCCAGGUGAAUAUGAAGUAAGUUCUUCAUUUAAUAUUGCUGACUUGACUCCAUUUGUUGCAUGUGAUUAUUCUGAAGAUUUGAGGGCAAAUGCUUUCCAAGAAGGAAGGAAUGAUGAGAAUCCUAAAACUGCCCAAAUAUAGGGAACCAUGACCAGGAGUAAGACCAAACAGUCAGAGGAUAGCCUCCAACAAAUGGUAUCAACUAUACUUAACAAGGUCCAAGUGGAGAAAGAUGAAGGCUCAGAAGCACUACCAAGAAUCUUGAUUGUUGCUGAAGGCCCAUGCAAAAUAUUUUUUUCUAUUUCUUUUUUUUUUGUUGUCAUUUUGGCCCAAACUAAUUUGAAGGCCCAUGUCAUCUUUUUCUAUUUUUCGUUUUAAUUUUAAAUUAAAUAAAAUUGGUGCCUCUCCAACUGCACCUCAGAUAUAUUAUAUGUAUUGAACUCGUUUUCAAUAGAGAGACUUUUGAUAUUUUGCAAA